rnacentral:rRNA from 1 species
AAAUUAACCUCGCCUGUUUACCAAAAACAUCGCCUCUUGAAUAAACACCUAUAAGAGGUCCAGCCUGCCCAGUGACUCUGUUCAACGGCCGCGGUAUCCUAACCGUGCGAAGGUAGCGUAAUCACUUGUUCUUUAAAUGAGGACUAGUAUGAAUGGCACCACGAAGGUUACACUGUCUCCUUUCUCUAAUCAGUGAAACUAAUCUCCCCGUGAAGAAGCGGGGAUUAAAAUAUAAGACGAGAAGACCCUAUGGAGCUUUAAACUAAACAACACUUGCUUUCACACCUUUAUAUUUAAAAAUAUUAAUAACUAUUACAGCUUUAUGAUUGUUAGUUUUAGGUUGGGGUGACCGCGGAGCAAAACAAAACCUCCACAUUGAACGGGUUUAUAUACCCUGAGCAACGAACUACAAUUCAAUGCACCAAUAAAUUGACAUAACUUGACCCAAUAUUUUGAUCAACGAACCAAGUUACCCUAGGGAUAACAGCGCAAUCCGCUUCAAGAGCUCCUAUCGACAAGCGGGUUUACGACCUCGAUGUUGGAUCAGGAUACCCCAGUGGUGCAGCCGCUACUAAAGGUUCGUUUGUUCAACGAUUAAAAUCCUAC